GAUGAACGCUCGCGGGAGGCCUAACACAUGCAAGCCGAGCGGUAUUUGUUCUUCGGAACAGAGAGAGCGGCGCACGGGUGCGGAACACGUGUGCAACCUGCCUUUAUCUGGGGGAUAGCCUUUCGAAAGGAAGAUUAAUACCCCAUAAUAUAUUGAGUGGCAUCACUUGAUAUUGAAAACUCCGGUGGAUAGAGAUGGGCACGCGCAAGAUUAGAUAGUUGGUGAGGUAACGGCUCACCAAGUCAAUGAUCUUUAGGGGGCCUGAGAGGGUGAUCCCCCACACUGGUACUGAGACACGGACCAGACUCCUACGGGAGGCAGCAGUGAGGAAUAUUGGACAAUGGGUUAGCGCCUGAUCCAGCCAUCCCGCGUGAAGGACGACGGCCCUAUGGGUGGUAAACUUCUUUUGGAUAGGGAUAAACCUACUCUCGUGAGAGUAGCUGAAGGUACUAUACGAAUAAGCACCGGCUAACUCCGUG
rnacentral:rRNA from 1 species